CGCUCGUGAUGAGACCUCA
rnacentral:rRNA from 4 species